AUGGCGAUCAUCCUGCUCCUCCUCCUACUCACACCGUCUCUGGCGGCACCCGACGUGUUCUGUGACAACGUCAAGGCCAUCGCCACCACUCUCUCCAAGAACGCCGCCUCUUCCCCGGUACACUUUGCCACCAAGACCUUUGGCGGCGCCCCCAACGUCGUCUUCGCGCUCGCGCUCUGCCGCGGCGACGUCCUCGAUGGUCCCGCCUGCGGUGACUGCAUCGCCAACUGGUUCGGCAAGGCGCUGAACCGGACCAGGUGCGACAAGGCCCGCUCCAGCUACGGCGACUGUAUCGUCGUCUAUAGCGCCGGCUAUGAUAUCCUAGCGGCGCCCUCGAAUACCACGGGAGGGUACGGCGAUAACACGCCGCCCUUCGAGCAGUGGAACAUCAAGAAUGUCACCACCGGCGACGUCCCCCUCGCCGUCGGCCUCGUCCGCGAGCUGCUGGUGGAGACUGCAGAGAAGGCGGCCACCACGCCACCGAGGCUGUACGCCACCGGCGUCAUGGACGUAGACGAGGUGACGACCUACCCAAAGGUGUACUCCCAGGCGCAGUGCACGCCGGACCUGUCCGCGGACGACUGCUCGGCGUGCCUGCUCCGUCUCCUCGGCAUGGUCAACUCCACCAUGUCCCUGCGAAUUGGUGGGCAGAUGGCUGUCACGCGGUGCUAUUUUAGGUAUGAGGCGUAUCGGUUCUACGACACCCAGCCCAUGCUGAGUCUGCCGUCGCGGCCACCGCCGACGACUCCGACCAAAUGCAGGAGCAUGUUGUGGGUAAUUGCGGUAGUUGCAGUUCCACUAUCGGCAGCAGCAUUUCUCUUCUUCAAUUGUUACUCUCGUCGUCUCAAAAGGCGAAGAAAAGGGAGAGAGGACCUAGUUUGGCAAGGGAAGAAUUCCGAGUUCUCUUUGUUUCACUUUGAACAGCUAUUGGAGGCAACAAGUAAAUUUUCAGAAGAAAACAAACUUGGACAAGGUGGCUUUGGUGCUGUCUAUAAGGGCCAGCUUCCAGAUGGGUUGGAGAUAGCGGUUAAGAGACUUGCUUCACAUUCAGGACAUGGUUUCACUGAGUUUAAAAAUGAAGUCCAGCUCAUAGCCAAACUCCAGCACACAAAUUUGGUUAGGUUCUUGGGAUGUUGCUCCCAAGAAGAGGAGAAAAUAUUGGUCUACGAAUACUUGCCAAACAAAAGCCUGGACAUCUUCAUCUUUGAUGAGUAUAAAAGAGCUUUACUAGAUUGGACAAAACUAUUAGAAAUAAUUGAAGGAGUAGCACAUGGACUCCAUUACUUACAUAAGCACUCUGGAUUGCUUGUCAUACUUCGAGAUCUUAAACCAAGCAACAUUCUCCUGGACAGCGAAAUGAAUCCCAAAAUUUCAGAUUUCGGGCUAGCAAAAAUAUUCAGCUCAAAUGACACUGAAGGCGACACUACAAGAAGAGUCGUUGGCACAUAUGGUUACAUGGCCCCUGCGUAUGCUUCGAAGGGCGUCUUCUCUAUUAAAUCCGAUGUCUUCAGCUUUCGUGUUGUCAUUUUUGAGAUCCUUAGCGGAAAACGGAAUUCUGGUAACCAACAAUGUGGAGGCUUCGUCAAUCUCCUUGGAUAUACAUGGCAAUUGUGGGAAGAGGGAAAGUGGAUCGAUCUCCUCGAUGCAUCAUUGCUUCCUGAUAUUCACUUGGCAAAGUUAAUGAGGUGCAUUAAUAUAGCAUUGUUAUGUGUGCAAGAGAAUGCAGUUGAUCGGCCAACCAUGGGAGAUAUUGUUGCAAUGCUAAGAAGUGAUACUAUGAUCUUGGCUAAGCCUAAGCAGCCAGCAUAUAUCAAUGUAAGGGUGGGAAAUGAAGAGACUUCCAAUGCUCCCGAGUCGUGCAGUAUUAAUGAUAUAACCAUAUCUGCCACAAUUCCUAGAUAG
rnacentral:rRNA from 1 species